AUUGAACGCUGGCGGCAUGCCUUACACAUGCAAGUCGAACGGUAACAGGUCUUCGGAUGCUGACGAGUGGCGAACGGGUGAGUAAUACAUCGGAACGUGCCCGAGAGUGGGGGAUAACGAAGCGAAAGCUUUGCUAAUACCGCAUACGAUCUCAGGAUGAAAGCAGGGGACCGCAAGGCCUUGCGCUCACGGAGCGGCCGAUGGCUGAUUAGGUAGUUGGUGGGAUAAAGGCUUACCAAGCCGACGAUCUGUAGCUGGUCUGAGAGGACGACCAGCCACACUGGGACUGAGACACGGCCCAGACUCCUACGGGAGGCAGCAGUGGGGAAUUUUGGACAAUGGGCGCAAGCCUGGUCCAGCCAUGCCGCGUGCAGGAUGAAGGCCUUCGGGUUGUAAACUGCUUUUGUACGGAACGAAAAGACUCUGGUUAAUACCUGGGGUCCAUGACGGUACCGUAAGAAUAAGCACCGGCUAACUACGUGCCAGCCGCCGCCGUAACAC
rnacentral:rRNA from 1 species